rnacentral:misc_RNA from 1 species
AACGUAGGGGGCGAGCGUUGCCCGGAUUUACUGGGCGUAAAGCGCGUGUAGGCGGUCCGUUAAGUCGGAUGUGAAAUCUCGAGGCUCAACUUCGAAAUUGCAUUCGAUACUGAUGGACUUGAGGACGGUAGAGGUCGGUGGAAUAUCCGGUGUACCGGUGAAAUGGGCAGAUAUCGGAUAGAACACCAGUGGCGAAGGCGGCCGACUGGGCCGUUCCUGACGCUGAGACGCGAAAGCUAGGGUAGCGAACCGG